rnacentral:rRNA from 1 species
CAUGUCCUUUUGAUUAUAAUUUAAGGUCUAAUCUGCCCACUGAAAUUUUAAAUGGCCGCAGUAAUUUGACUGUGCUAAGGUAGCAUAAUCAUUAGUUUUUUAAUUGAAAGCUGGAAUGAAUGAUUGGAUGAAAUAAAAACUGUCUCAAAUUUAUUUAAUUAGAAUUUUAUUUUUAAGUUAAAAAGCUUAAAUUUUAUUAAAAGACGAGAAGACCCUAUAGAGUUUUAUAUAAAAGAUUAUAUUUUAAUUAUUAUUUUAAAAAUUUAAUUUCAUUUUUUAUAUUUUGUUGGGGUGACAAAAAAAUUUAAUUAACUUUUUUUUUAUUUUUACAUUUAUAAAUGAAUAAUUGAUCCAUUAAUUAUGAUUAUAAGAUUAAAUUACCUUAGGGAUAACAGCGUAAUUUUUUUUAAGAGUUCAAAUCGAAAAAAAAGAUUGCGACCUCGAUGUUGGAUUAAAGUUUAAUUUUGGUGUAGCAGCUAAAAAUUUAAGUCUGUUCGACUUUUAAAACUUUACAUGAUCUGAGU